rnacentral:rRNA from 1 species
UACGUAGGGUGCAAGCGUUGUCCGGAAUUAUUGGGCGUAAAGAGCUCGUAGGCGGUUUGUCGCGUCUGCUGUGAAAACUGGGGGCUCAACCCCCAGCCUGCAGUGGGUACGGGCAGACUAGAGUGCGGUAGGGGAGAUUGGAAUUCCUGGUGUAGCGGUGAAAUACGCAGAUAUCAGGAGGAACACCGAUGGCGAAGGCAGGUCUCUGGGCCACUACUGACGCUGAGAAGCGAAAGCAUGGGGAGCGAACAGG